rnacentral:rRNA from 1 species
UGGGGGAUAUUGCACAAUGGGCUAAAGCCUGAUGCAGCGACGCCGCGUGGGGGAUGAAGGCUUUCGGGUUGUAAACCUCUUUCGCUAUCGAACAAGGCCCGCUUAGGGUGGGUUGAGGGUAGGUGGAGAAGAAGCGCCGGCUAACUACGUGCCAGCAGCCGCGGUAAUACGUAGGGCGCGAGCGUUGUCCGGAAUUAUUGGGCGUAAAGGGCUUGUAGGCGGCUUGUUGCGCCUGCUGUGAAAACGCGGGGCUUAACUUCGCGCGUGCAGUGGGUACGGGCAGGCUUGAGUGUGGUAGGGGUGACUGGAAUUCCAGGUGUAGCGGUGGAAUGCGCAGAUAUCUGGAGGAACACCGAUGGCGAAGGCAGGUCACUGGGCCAUUACUGACGCUGAGGAGCGAAAGCAUGGGUAGCGAACAGG